rnacentral:rRNA from 1 species
GACGGAGGGUGCAAGCGUUGCUCGGAAUCACUGGGCGUAAAGGGUGCGUAGGCGGCCGCGCAAGUCGGGCGUGAAAGCCCACGGCUCAGCCGUGGAAGGGCGCUCGAAACGGUGCGGCUAGAGUGCCGGAGGGGAGAGUGGAAUUCCCGGUGUAGCGGUGAAAUGCGUAGAUAUCGGGAGGAAUACCGGUGGCGAAAGCGACUCUCUGGACGGCGACUGACGCUGAGGCACGAAAGCGUGGGGAGCAAACAGG